rnacentral:lncRNA from 1 species
CCAGAUUUGGAAAAUGCAUAUUAGAAUUACCUGAGCUUCUCUAGCAAGCACAUCAUAUAAUAAUUUCACAAGUAGUGGCUGUUUUCUUAAGAUUUCUGGAAAUUACUGUCCUGACUGACCUUAAUAUGAGAACAUUUUGGUGAUAUUUCAACAUUUCUGGUUCUGGCAGCAAAAUGUGGAAAAAGAAUCAUCACCUUACGCUUAGUUGAAUGUUUCUUUAAAUAAAAGGCUUAGUUUGCAUUUGGUUGUGAUGCAGUAUGGAGAAUGUGAGACCGUUUUUUCCAAACAAGAUUGCUCAUUCCUACAGGAAAUGACCUCAUUCUUGAUGGCUGCUGCUAACUUAUGGUGAGAUGCUGGGUCCCUGCCCAAUACCACAUGGACAUCCAAUCAAUUUACCCAGGGACAAGUCCACUCAAGAGCAUCAUUUAGAAGAGGGAAAAGGCACUGGGGUUAUUUGUUUUUGGAGUAUGUGCUUAAGGAAAUCUAGAGUAUUCCCACGAGCAUUCUGCUGAGAUGAACAAUCAGAUGACCUCGUGUGAGAUUUGGAGGAGAGAAGGAAAUGGAGAGCAUGCGUCUGCCGCUUCUGUGGUUUCUGUCGGUAAGCACAGUGAUGAGGUGCUGAGUUUUCCCCAGAAGGCCUCCCAGUGUCCUAUUACCAGCUUCACAAGCGUCGAGGGCAGGGCAUGGGCAUCUAUUGUUCACCAGUGGAGAUCUAUCUGGCACAGAACCGAUCCAACCAUUGCAGUGGUCACAGCGGUGUUGGCUUUCUGAUUCUCAACCUUCCUGACCGCCAGAGGAGACAGCCUCUUUGGUGGCCCUGUUCUGUGGUAUUGUGCUAACCGGUGGUGGGACUAAAACUGUCUCUAUAAUGUUUUAUUUCUUAAAAAAAAAUUCUGAAGCAAAUGUGACAAUAUGUUAACAUUCUUAAAAUCUGGGUAGUGGGAACAUGGAUGUUGUUAUUUGUGGUGUGUUUGAAAUUGUGUCAUAUUAUAAAUUUUAAAAAAAUGUUUUGACUACAAAAUCUCUAUGUAUAUGCCCAGUUUUUGUAGAUUGUUGCUUACGCUUUUCAUAUUUUUACCCAAGGAGUAAUCAGGAAUUCUAAAAGUCUUAUGUAACAGGAUUUAAAAUAAAAUUACACAGAAUCUCAACUGUACUAUAUUUUGAAAAUAUGAAUGAUUAAGAUUAUUUUUUAUAUUUUUAUUAAUAUAGAGAAAAUAAUUUCUAUAAAAUAUGCUUUCAGCUAAUGGGGGAUCCCAUUCCAUAUUUUUUUCUUUUUCUUUUUUUUUUU